AGUAGGGAAUAUUGCGCAAUGCUCGCAAGAGUGACGCAGCGACGCCGCGUGGGCGAUGAAGCUUCUUGGAGUGUAAAGCCCUGUCAGGAGGGACGAAUGAUUGCAGUCGUAACUGGCUGCGAUUUGACGGUACCUUCAGAGGAAGCUCCGGCCAACUCCGUGCCAGCAGCCGCGGUAACACGGGGGGAGCGAGCGUUGUUCGGAAUUACUGGGUGUAAAGGGCUCGUAGGCGGGGAAGAAGGUCGAAUGUGAAAACUCAUGGCUUAACCAUGAGCCUGCAUCCGAAACCACUUCUCUUGAGUAUCGGAGAGGAUAGCGGAACUCCUGGUGUAGCGGUGAAAUGCGUAGAUAUCAGGAGGAACGCCGGUGGCGAAGGCGGCUAUCUGGCCGAAUACUGACGCUCAGGAGCGAAGGCCGGGGGAGCAAACAGGAUUAGAUACCCUGGUAGUCCCGGCAGUAAACGAUGGGUACUAGGUGUUGGAGGGAAUUGACCCCUUCAGUGCCGCAGCUAACGCAUUAAGUACCCCACCUGGGGAGUACGACCGCAAGGUUGAAACUCAAAGGAAUUGACGGGGGCCCGCACAAGCAGUGGAGUAUGUGGUUCAAUUCGACGCAACGCGAAGAACCUUACCUGGGUUUGAAAUGUGUCGGAAAGCCUCAGAGAUGAGGCCCCUCCGCAAGGAGUCGACACAUAGGUGCUGCAUGGCUGUCGUCAGCUCGUGCCGUGAGGUGUUGGGUUAAGUCCCGCAACGAGCGCAACCCCUGUUUCUAGUUACCAGCGGUUCGGCCGGGGACUCUAGAAAGACUGCCGGUGACAAGCCGGAGGAAGGUGGGGAUGACGUCAAGUCCUCAUGGCCCUUAUGUCCAGGGCUACACACGUACUACAAUGGCCGAUACAGAGGGUCGCAAGACCGCGAGGUGGAGCCAAUCCCUAAAAUCGGCCUCAGUUCAGAUUGGAGUCUGCAACUCGACUCCAUGAAGUUGGAAUUGCUAGUAAUCGCGAAUCAGCACGUCGCGGUGAAUACGUUCCCGGGCCUUGUACACACCGCCCGUCAAGCCAUGGAAGCCGGGUGUACCCAAAGUCGUCUUGCUAACCGCAAGGAGGCGGACGCCCAAGGUAAAACCGGUGACUGGGGCU
rnacentral:rRNA from 1 species